rnacentral:rRNA from 1 species
AUUGAACGCUGGCGGCAGGCCUAACACAUGCAAGUCGAGCGGACGAAGGGAGCUUGCUCCUGGAUUCAGCGGCGGACGGGUGAGUAAUGCCUAGGAAUCUGCCUGGUAGUGGGGGAUAACGUCCGGUAACGGGCGCUAAUACCGCAUACGUCCUGAUGGAGAAAGUGGGGGAUCUUCGGACCUCACGCUAUCAGAUGAGCCUAGGACGGAUUAGCUAGUUGGUGGGGUAAAGGCCUACCAAGGCGACGAUCCGUAACUGGUCUGAGAGGAUGAUCAGUCACACUGGAACUGAGACACGGUCCAGACUCCUACGGGAGGCAGCAGUGGGGAAUAUUGGACAAUGGGCGAAAGCCUGAUCCAGCCAUGCCGCGUGUGUGAAGAAGGUCUUCGGAUUGUAAAGCACUUUAAGUUGGGAGGAAGGGCAGUAAGUUAAUACCUUGCUGUUUUGACGUUACCAACAGAAUAAGCACCGGCUAACUUCGUG